UACAGAGGUGGCAAGCGUUGUUCGGAAUUACUGGGCGUAAAGGGCUCGUAGGCGGCCAACUAAGUCAGACGUGAAAUCCCUCGGCUUAACCGGGGAACUGCAUCUGAUACUGGAUGGCUUGAGUUCGGGAGAGGGAUGUGGAAUUCCAGGUGUAGCGGUGAAAUGCGUAGAUAUCUGGAGGAACACCGGUGGCGAAGGCGGCAUCCUGGACCGACACUGACGCUGAGGAGCGAAAGCCAGGGGAGCAAACGGG
rnacentral:rRNA from 1 species